UAGCUAUGUUAGGGGGAUAUCUGUGUGUGCAGGUGACUAUUACUGUGCAUAAUUAUUAGGCAACUUAACAAAAAACAAAUAUAUACCCAUUUCAAUUAUUUAUUAUUACCAGUGAAACCAAUAUAACAUCUCAACAUUCACAAAUAUACAUUUCUGACAUUCAAAAACAAAACAGUGACCAAUAUAGCCACCUUUCUUUGCAAGGACACUCAAAAGCCUGCCAUCCAUGGAUUCUGUCAGUGUUUUCAUCUGUUCACCAUCAACAUUGCAUGCAGC